GUUGAGUUGGUCAAUACUGAUAUUAAGUAUCAAAAUAUAGAAGCAUUCACAUUUAGAUUAAUAGCAUGUCUUUUCAUAUGAACAAAUCAUAUGAAGUGUCUAGAUGUGUUUGCCAGUAGGAGUGUUCAUAAGUUAUUCUGGCACCAGCUUGAGCUUGAAAAAAAAUAUUCAGACCAAACCCAUUAAGAUUGAUCAGAGAAUACCCCAAUCUGAUUGACACUGAACCAUAGUUCACAAAAUAACCAAAUCACAAUAAAAGUUAUUUCAUUCGGUUUUGGGCAGAAAAAGAUCCAUUUAUGGGUUGAAGGACAUAAAGGCACUUUAAAUUUACUGAGUUACAGCAAAAUGCGGUCUUAAGAGACAAAUGCAUGAAGCGGCUUCUAUUAUUUAGUUCAAAAUGAUAAAAGUACACAUGUUACCUGAU
rnacentral:misc_RNA from 1 species